AUACAUGCCCGGUAUAUCAUAACCAACAAAGGAUCAAAUGCCCGGUCUUAUACAUGCCUGUUUUAUCAAUAGUGUUCCUGAUUGUUGGUACAGAUGAUGGGACUUGGAUAUUGCAAUUGUCAAGGCCACUAACCAUGUUGAACAUAUGGCAAAAGAAAAACAAACUCAGUGAGUCCAAGCUUCCUUCAACCAUUGCUGUGAGGACUUGCACAGAAGAAUCAACAAUUGAGGAUAAACUCGAGAAUUGAGAAACAAGGCUGAGAGCAUUGCAAAGAUGGAAAAGAUCAUUCAAGAGAGGUAAGAUAAGGUCACAUUAUUACAGAGCGAGAUAGAGUUGCUUCAGGUGAGGUUUGAUAUAAUGCUCACACAAUUGCAUUGCAUCCGACUUAGUGAAGGUUUCCACAUUUUGGCUCCUAUAACAAUUGUGUGAUUUGUGGUCACUGAGCUAUUGUUGACUUUUGAAGUUUGUUUCUGAUUUAAAUUGAAUUUCGAUAACAUGUAUAUGUUGUAAGCUUUAUUUUGGUUUCCUGUCCUGCAGAAAAAGUUAAGAUGAUUGCCGGAGUUUCCAUGGAGGGUUUUAUGAGCCUGACUAAAUAAUAGGAUCUGAAAAUAAUCUAGCUAUCCUAGGCACCGAUGGUUGUGCCUUCUUGUACUCUGUCUUAUGUAAUUUUCAGCAGCAUAGCAUAGUUUGUAGACAUGAUAAUAUUAACGUUUUCAAAAGGAAGCUGCCUCAAGCCUUUGGAGGUUAUUUUCACGUAGGUCCCAAAACUCCCUAGUCCUUGGAGGUUCACGUAUCUCCAUAUGCAGUUUGGCAGAACUUUCCAUGCUUGUGCUGCAUUCCAAACUUGGAGUUCAAGUUAACUCAGUUCAGCAGCUCUAAAUACCAAGUCCAAACUGAGUCAUCAAACUAGGCAAGUUUUCAUUAUUUGAAUGAGUGGAACUUGGGAAUAAACACGCACUACAAAUUUGUAAAUGAAAUCCUUGGCAACUUUUGUAUUCUCCAUUCUUUAUUAUCUUCUCAUAAAAUGAAAAAUGAAAAAAGAAGAAGUUUUGAUGUUGUUGUCAUUCAGCAAGGAUAUCGUUUUAGAAGCAUUCAUCUGAAGAAAUCUAUUUGUA